CCUACUAAAAAAUCUAAGAAGGCUCCUACAAAAUUGUCAAAAAAUUAUUAAAGCCGUCGAUUGAUUUUUCAAGUGAUAAUUAGUAAGGAAAUCGAAAAGCCGAAAGCAUUUUGAGUCAGUUGGUACAUUUUCCCUUCGAAUAAAAGUGUAAUUCGAAUUUUAUUGCGAAACUAAACGCGGCGUUUGGCAAGUGAAAAUAUUGGCCGUCCCUGCGUAAAUAGAGUCAUGGAAGCCACGAUUUCAGAAACUGGAGCUGCCGUGGCUCGGGAAGCCUCCAGUUUCGAGAAAAUUAAACAACUUAAGGAACCCGGCGGAAAAUUUCAAAAUGGCGGCGAGCAAAAAGUGCAUAGAUGUGUGCAUGUGUACGAGUGCUGGUGUGAGAGAGUGGACUUGACUAUUCAUGUUGCUUCCUUUCCCACGCUUUUGCGUACAACUUCAUUGGAAUUUUCCUUAAAAAUAUUAAUAUUAUUGCACACAUGCUGUGCAGAUCCCCUGUCA